rnacentral:rRNA from 1 species
CGGUAAACAGAGGGGAGCGAACCCGCGAGGGGAGCGGAUCCCAAAAACAGCGUCCCAGUUCGGAUUGUAGUCUGCAACCCGACUACAUGAAGCCGGAAUCGCUAGUAAUCGCAGAUCAGCAUGCUGCGGUGAAUACGUUCCCGGGUCUUGUACACACCGCCCGUCACACCAUGGGAGCCGGGAAUGCCCGAAGUCAGCGGCCCAACCGAAAGGGGGGAGCUGCCGAAGGCAGGCCUGGUGACUGGGGUGAAGUCGUAACAAGGUAGC